rnacentral:rRNA from 1 species
AUGCCUCCGCCUCGCCGCGCGCUCAUCUCCUCCCUCCUCCGCCUCCGCGCCUGCUCCUCCCUUGCCCACCACUCACCGCGGCCGCCGCCGCCCUCCUCGCGCCGCCACCAGUUCGUCGCCGACCCCAACGCCGCCGCCGGCACGGGACGAAGCAGCGUCGGCGGCAACCCCUUGGACCCCACGCAGCUCCUCCGCGACGACCCGGUGUCCAUCACCGCGUCGCUGUGGGUCUCCUCCUUCCGCGCCGCCGCGCCUGGCGACGCCGCUCCGCCACCGCCGCCGGCGCUGGCCCCCUUCCUCACUCGCCUCGAGCUCUGGGUGCUCGCCUACCAGAAGGCGUACGCGGACGAGACCGGCUCCUACCUACCCCGCUCCUCCAUCCCCGCCUCCACGCUCACCUCCAUCCUCACCCUCCGCAACGCCGUCAUCGACGCCCGCUUCCGCUUCGGCAACCGCCUCACGCCCUACCUCCACUCCCCGCGCGCCGCGGCGGCCCCGGACCCCGCCACCCUCUCCAAGCGCAAGCUCCGCGCCCUCCUCACCACCCCGGGCCCGGCCCCGUUCCAGGACCGCGUCGUGCAGGAGCUGCUCCUGCUGCUGCUCGAACCAGUUUAUGAGGCGCGGUUCUCGCCCAAGUCCUUCGCCUUCCGCCCUGGGCGAUCCCCGCAUGCCGCACUCCGUAGCAUCCGCCGGAGCUGGGCGCCCUACCUCUGGUACAUCAAGGGAGACCUCUCCCCGCUGCUUGAUUCCCCUGACCCUGCGCUCGUGGUCGGCGCGCUCAUCCGUGAUGUGCGUGACAAGAAAGUGGUCGAUUUAGUCCGCUCGGCACUGCUUACUCCAGUGGUGACCGCCAGGCCUGGUGAUGAUGAUGCAUCAAAGAAGAAGAAGAAGAGGAAGUACCAGAAAAAGAAGGUGCUGCCUGAAGGGGAGCCGAAGCCUGACCCCUACUGGUUGCAGACAUUCUUUGGGUUUGCACCAGAGGAGGCUCUGACUCAGCCUGAUUGGGGGCAUUGUGGGGUGCUGAGCCCAUUGCUCGCCAAUGUCUGUCUUGAUGAGUUCGAUAAAUGGAUGGACGAGAAGAUUAAGGAGUUCUACAAGCCGUCCAAGUCGGAUGUUGUGGGAGGGGAGGAUGGCAUUGAGCAGGGGAAUACAUCAUGGCCGGAGUUUGUACCCACGAGCGGGCCUGACAAAACAAGGAAGGUGGACUAUAUUCGGUUUGGCGGGCAUUUCUUGAUUGGAGUAAGGGGCCCUAGGGCCGACGCUGCAGUGAUUCGAAAGCAGCUCAUUGAAUUUUGUGAUCAGCGGUUCAGGAUCAAGCUUGACAAUGAGAGCCUCCCAAUUGAACACAUCACUAAAGGGAUCAUGUUUCUUGAUCAUGUGUUGUGCCGUCGUGUCGUGUACCCAACCCUCCGUUACACAGCCACUGGAGGCAAGAUCAUUAGCGAGAAGGGGGUUGGUACUCUGCUCUCAGUUACAGCCAGUUUGAAGCAGUGCAUCAGGCAGUUCCGGAAGCUAGAGUUUUUAAAGGGAGACCGUGAGCCAGACCCACAGCCAUGUUUCCGGAUGUUCCAUGCCACGCAAGCUCACACUAACUUGCAGAUGAAUAAGCUUUUAACGACGAUGGCAGAAUGGUAUCGCUAUGCUGAUAACCGCAAAAAGGUUGUCAACUUUUGCUCGUACAUUAUAAGGGGGUCCUUGGCAAAGUUAUAUGCCGCCAAGUAUAAGCUGCGGUCAAGGGCAAAGGUUUAUAAGAUUGCAUCAAGGAAUCUUAGUCGACCAUUGAAGGAUAAGAAAGGGCAGUCACCAGAGUACACCAAUUUGCUGAGAAUGGGUCUUGUAGACUCAGUUGAUGGACUUCAGUAUACAAGGAUGUCAAUGGUUCCUGAUCCUGACUAUACACCACUACCAAGCGGGUGGCGCCCGGACCACGAGAAGUUUUUGCUAGAAUAUAUAAAGCUCACAGAUCAACAAACACUGGAAGAGCAGCGGAGUUGCAUUAGAGAGGAGGGGCUUAUAACACCACAGGACCACAUUUCAAUGCUUGUAUGGAGCUACAAGAAAAAUGCAGUUUUACUACCUUCUUCAAAAGAGAGUGAUGUCCAAGAAUCCAUAGAAGACCUUGGUUCAGAUACAGAUGAAUUGAAUAACAAGGAGCUAGGGCAUGGAGGCCAUCAGGGUUUUCCAUAG